rnacentral:rRNA from 1 species
UACGUAGGGGGCGAGCGUUGUCCGAAGUUACUGGGCGUAAAGAGCGCGUAGGCGGGUCUUUAAGUGAGGGGUGAAAGGUUCAGGGCUCAACCCGGACACUGCCUUUCAUACUGGGGACCUUGAGUGCGGGAGAGGCGAGUGGAAUGGCUGGUGUAGCGGUGAAAUGCGUAGAUAUCAGUCGGAACACCCAUGGCGAAGGCAGCUCGCUGGCCUGCAACUGACGCUGAGGCGCGAAAGCGUGGGGAGCAAACAG